CGACUACGAAAACUCAAAGCAGUAAAUUCAAUAUCCGGCCACCCUCGAGUAACAGAGCCCCAAAUGAUGUAAGAAACGGCUCUUCUUCAUGAAUAGUGUUAUCCGGCCACCCUCGAGUUGCCGUCUUUUUUAUCACCCUUAGCGCAGCAUGAGCCUCUCCUUCGACUGCACGAAUCUUGCCCAGGAUUUCUCAAACUCCGAUUAAAGAAACAAAAUAAAACAAUUAAUUAAUUUUCGGGAAUUGGAAUACGAAAAUUCAGUUUUGUUUAGAUUAUAAUCAAACCUAAUUUAUAUAAAUUCC
rnacentral:lncRNA from 1 species